rnacentral:rRNA from 1 species
CAGCAGCCGCGGGAAUACGUAGGGUGCGAGCGUUAAUCGGAAUUACUGGGCGUAAAGCGUGCGCAGGCGGUUGUGUAAGACAGGUGUGAAAUCCCCGGGCUUAACCUGGGAACUGCGCUUGUGACUGCACAGCUAGAGUAUGGCAGAGGGGGGUGGAAUUCCACGUGUAGCAGUGAAAUGCGUAGAGAUGUGGAGGAACACCGAUGGCGAAGGCAGCCCCCUGGGCCAAUACUGACGCUCAUGCACGAAAGCGUGGGGAGCCAACAGGAUUAGAUACCCCCGUAGUCCCUGUCUCUUAUAC